rnacentral:rRNA from 1 species
GACGAACGCUGGCGGCGUGCUUAACACAUGCAAGUCGAGCGGUAAGGCCCUUUCGGGGGUACACGAGCGGCGAACGGGUGAGUAACACGUGGGUGACCUGCCCUCAGCUCUGGGAUAAGCCUGGGAAACCGGGUCUAAUACUGGAUAUGACUCCAUGACGCAUGUUGUGGGGUGGAAAGCCUUGUGCGGCUGAGGAUGGGCCCGCGGCCUAUCGAGCUUGUUGGUGGGGUGANGGCCUACCAAGGCGACGACGGGUAGCCGGCCUGAGAGGGCGACCGGCCACACUGGGA